rnacentral:piRNA from 1 species
UAAAGGUGUCAAUUUCCUGUAGAAAGCAGU